UUCUCUCUCUAGAUCACUCCCUCUCUCUCUAAGCUCUUGAAAGAUGGAAAAUGAAAUGGAAGUGAUGAAAGGAAAGGGUCCCUACCUAAAAAAUUAGAACCGUUGGAUUUGCGUCAAGUGGUGAAAUCCAGUGAGAAAAAAGAAAGUUGAGUUGAAGAUGAGUGAUUUUACAUGAUGCGAUGGCAAUGCAAAAAAUGGAGGAAGAAUCCUUCAUCAACGACACAGGGCCUACAGCACAUAUUGUGUAGCACGUAAGCUUACUACGCACAGGCCCAAGCGCGCAGGCCUACUGCGCACAUGGCGCGUGCACAGGGCGCAUGGUGUCUAGCCAUGUCUGCGGGGACUAUCCUAUUUGUGUACAAUGGGAUGCAGGCACGGAUUGGCCAAUCUGCGCGUGAUGCGAUGCGUGUGCAAACUGGCCCUAUGCCCCGGGCGGAUGGGAUUUGCGCACGUCUUGUGUUGGUCGUGUGCGCACGCACGCAAAAAGCGUGCUGUGCCUGUGCAGGCGAGCCUCUUCUGCAGGCGUUUUCCCGCGAGAUUUUGCCUCAUUUUUUAUUUUUCUCCUGAAAAUU
rnacentral:lncRNA from 1 species